rnacentral:rRNA from 1 species
GACGAACGCUGGCGGCGUGCCUAAUACAUGCAAGUAGAACGCAGUUGCGGACGGGUGAGUAACUCGUAGGUAACUUCCUCAUAGCGGGGGAUAACUAUUGGAAACGAUAGCUAAUACCGCAUACUUUUAGAUGUACCUGCGUUGGAUUAGGUAGUUGGUGAGGUAAAGGCUCUCCAAGGCGACGAUACAUAGCCGACCUGGGAGGGGUGUCCGCCACACUGGGACUGGGACACGGACCAGACUCCUACGGGGGGCAGCAGUAGGGAAUCUUCGGGAAAGGACGGAAGGCUUAACGAGCAAAGCCCGGUGAGUGAAGAAGGUUUUUGGGUCGGAAAGCUCUGUUGUUAGAGAAGCGGUAACUAAACAGAAAGGGAAGGCUAACUACGUGCCAGCAGCCGCGGUAAUAC